rnacentral:rRNA from 1 species
UCUACGGGAGGCAGCAGUGGGGAAUAUUGCGCAAUGGGCGAAAGCCUGACGCAGCCACGCCGCGUGAGUGAUGAAGGCCUUCGGGUUGUAAAGCUCUGUCGGGAGGGAAGAAGCUCUGACGGUACCUCCCAAGAAAGCACCGGCUAACUCCGUGCCAGCAGCCGCGGUAAUACGGAGGGUGCAAGCGUUGCUCGGAAUCACUGGGCGUAAAGCGGACGCAGGCGGAUCAGAAGGUCGGGCGUGAAAGCCCGGGGCUCAACCCCGGAACUGCGCUCGAAACCGCUGGCCUGGAAUACGGGAGAGGGAAGCGGAAUUCCUGGUGUAGAGGUGAAAUUCGUAGAUAUCAGGAGGAACACCGGUGGCGAAAGCGGCUUCCUGGCCCGAUAUUGACGCUGAGGUCCGAAAGCGUGGGUAGCAAACAGGAUUAGAUACCCUGGUAGUCCUCGCCGUAAACGAUGAGUGCUAGCUGGUGGAUUCGUCUACGAUUUACCGGCGCAGCUAACGCAUUAAGCACUCCGCCUGGGGAGUACGGUCGCAAGAUUAAAACUCAAAUGAAUUGACGGA